CCUACGGGAGGCAGCAGUGAGGAAUAUUGGUCAAUGGGCGAGAGCCUGAACCAGCCAAGUCGCGUGAGGGAGUACUGCCCUAUGGGUUGUAAACCUCUUUUGUCGGGGAGCAAAAGCCGGACGUGUCCGGCUGUGAGAGUUCCCGAAGAAAAAGCAUCGGCUAACUCCGUGCCAGCAGCCGCGGUAAUUCGGAGGAUGCGAGCGUUAUCCGGAUUUAUUGGGUUUAAAGGGUGCGCAGGCGGAUUUUUAAGUCAGCGGUAAAAUCGUGGGGCUCAACCCCAUCCAGCCGUUGAAACUGGGGAUCUAGAGUGUGCGAGAGGUAUGCGGAAUGCGUGGUGUAGCGGUGAAAUGCAUAGAUAUCACGCAGAACCCCGAUUGCGAAGGCAGCAUACCGGUGCACAACUGACGCUGAGGCACGAAAGCGUGGGUAUCGAACAGGAUUAGAUACCCCGGUAGUC
rnacentral:rRNA from 1 species